AUGGCUCAGGAUGAACGCUGGCGGCGUGCCUAACACAUGCAAGUCGAGCGAUUCUCUUCGGAGAAGAGCGGCGGACGGGUGAGUAACGCGUGGGUAACCUGCCUCAUACACAUGGAUAACAUACCGAAAGGUAUGCUAAUACAGGAUAAUAUAAGAGAUUCACAUGGAUUUCUUAUCAAAGCUCCGGCGGUAUGAGAUGGACCCGCGUCUGAUUAGCUAGUUGGUAAGGUGACGGCUUACCAAGGCGACGAUCAGUAGCCGACCUGAGAGGGUGAUCGGCCACAUUGGAACUGAGACACGGUCCAAACUCCUACGGGAGGCAGCAGUGGGGAAUAUUGCACAAUGGGCGAAAGCCUGAUGCAGCAACGCCGCGUGAGUGAUGAAGGCCUUCGGGUCGUAAAACUCUGUCCUCAAGGAAGAUAAUGACGGUACUUGAGGAGGAAGCCCCGGCUAACUACGUGCCAGCCGCGGC
rnacentral:rRNA from 1 species